rnacentral:rRNA from 1 species
UACAGAGGCCUCAAGCGUUAGGCGGAAUCACUGGGCUUAAAGCGUGUGUAGGCGGGUCGUUAAGUACCUUGUGAAAUCCCACGGCUUAACUGUGGAACGGCUUGGUAUACUGGCGAUCUUGAGCCACUUAGGGGCUACCGGAACAGAUGGUGGAGCGGUGAAAUGCGUAGAUAUCAGGAGGAACACCAAUUGCGAAGGCAGCUCGCUGGGACGUGACUGACGCUGAGACGCGAAAGCGUGGGGAGCAAACAGG